CGGGGCGUGGCGCAGCCCGGUAGCGCGCCUGCUUUGGGAGCAGGAUGUCGGAGGUUCAAAUCCUCUCGCCCCGACCA
rnacentral:tRNA from 4 species